UACGUAGGGGGGCAAGCGUUGUCCGGAUUUACUGGGCGUAAAGAGCGCGUAGGCGGACGUUUAAGUGUGGCCUGAAAGCCCCCGGCUCAACUGGGGAGGGUCACGCGAUACUGUUCGACUCGAAGGCAGGAGAGGGAAGUGGAAUUCCCCGGUGUAGUGGUGAAAUGCGUAGAUAUCGGGAGGAACACCAGUGGCGAAGGCGACUUCCUGGCCUGUUCUUGACGCUGAGGCGCGAAAGCUAGGGUAGCAAACGGG
rnacentral:rRNA from 1 species